GUAGGGACCAAGCGUUGUCCGGAUUUAUUGGGCGUAAAGAGCUCGUAGGCGGUUUCGUAAGUCGGGAUGUGAAAACUCAGGGGCUCAACCCGGGAGACGCCAUCCGAUACUGCGAUGACUGGAGUCCCGGUAGGGGAGCAUGGAAUUCCUGGUGUAGCGGUGGAAUGCGCAGAUAUCAGGAGGAACACCAGUGGCGAAGGCGGUGCUCUGGGCCGGUACUGACGCUGAGGAGCGAAAGCAUGGGGAGCAAACAGGAUUAGAUACCCUGGUAGUCCAUGCCGUAAACGUUGGGCACUAGGUGUGGGGUCUUCUAACGGAUUCCGUGCCGUAGCUAACGCAUUAAGUGCCCCGCCUGGGGAGUACGGCCGCAAAGGCUA
rnacentral:rRNA from 1 species